rnacentral:rRNA from 1 species
UACAGGGGGUGCAAACGUUGCUCGGAAUUAUUGGGCGUAAAGCGCGCGUAGGCGGCCGCUUAAGUCGGAUGUGAAAGCCCCUGGCUCAACUGGGGAGGGUCACGCGAUACUGAUCGACUCGAAGGCAGGAGAGGGAAGUGGAAUUCUCGGUGUAGUGGUGAAAUGCGUAGAUAUCGGGAGGAACACCAGUGGCGAAGGCGACUUCCUGGCCUGUUCUUGACGCUGAGGCGCGAAAGCUAGGGGAGCAAACGGG